rnacentral:rRNA from 1 species
UACGGAGGGGGCUAGCGUUGUUCGGAAUUACUGGGCGUAAAGCGCACGUAGGCGGCUUUGUAAGUUAGAGGUGAAAGCCCAGGGCUCAACCCUGGAAUUGCCUUUAAGACUGCAUCGCUUGAACAUCGGAGAGGUAAGUGGAAUUCCGAGUGUAGAGGUGAAAUUCGUAGAUAUUCGGAGGAACACCAGUGGCGAAGGCGGCUCACUGGUCCAUUACUGACGGCUGAGGUGCGAA